rnacentral:lncRNA from 1 species
GGCAAAUCUAUAUUAACAUAACGAGAAAAUCAUCCUUCAACAAGUUCCAUCAAAACAAUGGAUAACAAAUUAGCUAUUCAUAAUAGUAUGCAUAACUACAACACUAGAACUCAUAACCAAUAAUAAAAAUAGGAAGAAGGAAGUAAAAAACUCAUAGAAAAAUUCUCCGUCCUUCUCCUAGUGUGUUCUUGCCUUCAUAGGUCGAAUCUCCGAUUUCUAUGACGGCUUCGUGCUUUUUCGAGGACUAAUGUGUGUCCAGAGUCUCCAAAAUAAUAUUUUUCCAUGUAUAUAUACUAAGUAGGGUCGGGCCCAGAUGAAAAUACCUUCUCCCAUGCGAAAUAGAAUAAUCACUCUGUAAUAUUUGUAAAGGAGCGCCGCAUGGGGCGACGCACUGUACGGCACAGCAGUGGGGAGGUUCAAAGAUCUCUUUUCUAACAAACUAUUGGAAAAUUGCACACGUGCGGUGCACUCUGUGGCACACUGUGCGGUGCGGUGGUGGAAAUCCACGAAAA